rnacentral:ncRNA from 1 species
GGAAAUGCGAUGAAGAGGAAUAGUACAUUCGGACUUGACUGCAGAGAACUGUCGGGUGGUGCGAGACAGUGGAGAGGAUGUUUGGAACUCGCCUCCGAGCGGCUGUCCGAAAUCUUUCGCCAUGCGGGAGAGAGUAGACACAGACGGGGCCCUGCCGUUAUAGAGGGAAGGAUAUAAGAAGUAAUUCCGUAUCCGUUGAGUGUGUGAGUUUUUCGCAAAAUAGAGUGGUACCGCGUGGGACAGUUGUCCUUCGUCUCUGG